AUGCCUCCGUAGGGGAAUGUUGUAUAUCUGAUGUGUCAAAAAGUACGAUAUGUCGAAAAACCACAUUAUGGAGUGAAAAAUUUUGAUAUACUUAUAACAAGGGUGAGACGCGAAAGUGGGAAACGUCAUGGAUUUUCAGUCGAAAGUGAGGAGCUCACAGUGGUUGUUUUCAACGGAUAUAAUCGAUUAGAUACGCAACUAUUGAGAGAAGAUUUAAUUGAAGCUGAUACCAUUUUUAAUGGGACGAAUUCUGGUUCAAGUGCCAUCAUUACAUAGUUUAACAUUGUCAGUAAAUAUCACAUGUGCUCAUUAUCAGUUCAAAGUACUGUCGCUACUCACACUAUUCAUUCAAGAAAACAUUUUCAUUGAAAACAAAUAUCAAUCAAAAAAGUUUAUUUUUGAGCAUUUCUGAUGUAUUAUUUUGAUUAGUUGAAUUAUUGUCUUGAUCGGCGACAGAUUCGUCGAGAGAUAAUUUCUUGAACAAUUUGUUUUGUUAAAUCUUUUGUAACAAUUACUUUUAAUUUAUAAAAAAUACGGAUGAUUUACAAUUUAGUUACAAAAGGAUAUACUGCAUAAAUCUAGAUUUAGAAUAAAAUAUCUGUUUCAAUCUAAAUUCUGUAGCUUUUAUUAUAAAUAAAAGUUAAAUUGCCAAAGUGCUCUAUAACAUUUUCUUUUAACUACAUACCCACAUUUUUAUAUUUACAAUUUUCGCCUUGAACGUGACCCCCAUGCUGAUUGAAAAAUUUGUGGAAAUAUGUUUAGUAUUUACUUUUAUUUUUAGAAAGACUGGUAUGUCUUGUUGUAGAUUUUCAUGUAUGACACGCAGAAUGUAAACUAGCUUACAAUGCGCGUGCAAGAAUUGCUAAAUGAUUAAACAAAUACAAAUCAAAUAAAUAAAGCUAAGCAACUAGGAGUGUGCUUGUACUCACAUUCCGACAGAUACAUAUGAGCAUGUAAAUAAUAUACGACUGUAUCUGAUGAUAUUAAAAAUGUUGUCCGUUAACACUUUUGUGCAAAUAAUUUUCAUUGAAUAAUCAAUAGAAAACCGAUAAAUGCUUCUUUUGUAUUGUAUCUAAUACAUUUUAACACCUUGCCCAGGUG